rnacentral:rRNA from 1 species
GACGUAGGGGGCAAGCGUUGUUCGGAAUUAUUGGGCGUAAAGCGCUCGUAGGCGGGACAGGAAGUUCGUGUUGAAAGACCUCGGCUCAACUGAGGGACCGGCUCGAAUACUCUUGUUCUUGAGGCAAUCAGAGGGUGAUGGAAUUCCCGGUGUAGCGGUGAAAUGCGUAGAUAUCGGAGGAACACCAGUGGCGAAGGCGAUCACCUGGGGUUGUUCUGACGCUGAGGAGCGAAAGCUAGGGGAGCAAACGGG